GACGUAGGAGGCGAGCGUUAUCCGGAUUCACUGGGCGUAAAGCGCAUGUAGGCGGUUUGUUAAGUCCGUUGUUAAAGCCCCUGGCUCAACUGGGGGGAGGUCAAUGGAGACUAGCAGACUUGAGGGCAACAGAGGCACAUGGAACUCCCGGUGUAGCGGUGGAAUGCGUAGAGAUCGGGAAGAACACCCGUGGCGAAGGCGGUGUGGCUG
rnacentral:rRNA from 1 species